UUCCCCAACCAUUGCUUGCCCUAUUGAAGGCCGGGGCUGAGGAGAAGGAAAAAUCUGACAGAUGGUUAGAGCAGCUGGAGCAAUGAGUUUUGCUUUCUAUCAGAGGGUAGGAAGGGGGCAAUAUGUCAGGAGAAGCUUUCUCUUCCUUACCCCUGGAUCACCUGCAGGGCCUGAUCCACAGGGUUGCCAUUUCUGUUAUCCCACCACUGUGGAUCAGGCCCAGACGUGGGGGGUGCUUUCAGAUAUAAUAAGGGAGGCUUCCUAUGCAACCUGUCUUCAUGCCACAGGAAGGACCAGGGAGACGCAAGGAGACCUGCCAUGGCCAACUUCCCCUGGAAGAGAAAAGCCAUGAAGACACAGCAAAGGCAAAACAUUGGCUUGGAUUUUCACGUGGAGGUUUCGUGUUACUCUUCCAUCCAGCCUCUGUUGAUUUGUAUAGUUUAUUAAACAAACUGCUUUGUGUA